AGAAACUUAGGAUAACACUAAACCAAGAGCCUUCAAAGCCCAAAAUAGGGAUGAAAUUACCCUAGUUUCUG
rnacentral:tRNA from 1 species